UACGUAGGGUGCAAGCGUUAAUCGGAAUUACUGGGCGUAAAGGGUGCGCAGGCGGUUAUGUAAGUCAGAUGUGAAAUCCCCGGGCUUAACCUGGGAAUUGCGUUUGAAACUACAGAACUAGAGUGUGGCAGAGGGGGGUGGAAUUCCAUGUGUAGCAGUGAAAUGCGUAGAGAUAUGGAGGAACAUCGAUGGCGAAGGCAGCCCCCUGGGUUAACACUGACGCUCAGGCACGAAAGCGUGGGGAGCAAACAGG
rnacentral:rRNA from 2 species